UACGUAGGGACCAAGCGUUGUCCGGAAUCAUUGGGCGUAAAGAGCGUGUAGGCGGCCAGGGAGGUCCGUUGUGAAAACUCGAGGCUCAACCUCGAGACGCCGAUGGAAACCCCCUGGCUAGAGUCCGGAAGAGGAGAAUGGAAUUCCUGGUGUAGCGGUGAAAUGCGCAGAUAUCAGGAAGAACACCCGUGGCUAAGGCGGUUCUCUAGUACGGUACUGACGCUGAGGAGCGAAAGCGUGGGGAGCGAAC
rnacentral:rRNA from 1 species